UACGGGGGGAGCAAGCGUUGUUCGGAUUUACUGGGCGUAAAGGGCUCGUAGGCGGCCUGUGCAAGUCAGUUGUGAAAUCUCCGAGCUUAACUCGGAACGGUCAACUGAUACUGCUCGGCUAGAGUGCGGAAGGGGCAACUGGAAUUCUUGGUGUAGCGGUGAAAUGCGCAGAUAUCAGGAAGAACACCCGUGGCUAAGGCGGCUCUCUAGUACGGUACUGACGCUGAGACGCGAAAGCGUGGGGAGCGAACAGG
rnacentral:rRNA from 1 species